rnacentral:rRNA from 1 species
GACGAACGCUGGCGGCGUGCCUAAUACAUGCAAGUCGAACGCAGUGGGGACGGGUGAGUAACACGUGGGUAACCUCCAAUCAGAGGGGAUAACACUUGGAAACAGGUGCUAAACCGAUACUGAUGGAUGGACCCGCGGUGCAUUAGCUAGUUGGUGAGGUAACGGCUCACCAAGGCCACGAUGGAUCGCCGGACGGGGAGGGUGAUCAGCCAAACUGGGACGUGGACACGGGCCAGAAGCCUAAGGGAGGUAGGAGGAGGGAAUUUUCGGCCAAUGGCGAAAGGCUGGACCAGGCAAGGCGCGUGUGUGAAGAAGGGUUUUGGAUCGGAAAACGCUGUUUGUAGAGAAGCGGUAUCUAACCAGAAAGCCACGGCUAACUACGUGCCAGCAGCCGCGGUAAUUC